UACGAAGGGGGCUAGCGUUGCUCGGAAUCACUGGGCGUAAAGCGCACGUAGGCGGAUCUUUAAGUCAGGGGUGAAAUCCCAAGGCUCAACCUUGGAACUGCCUUUGAUACUGGGGAUCUCGAGUCCGGAAGAGGUUGGUGGAACUGCGAGUGUAGAGGUGAAAUUCGUAGAUAUUCGCAAGAACACCAGUGGCGAAGGCGGCCAACUGGUCCGGAACUGGACGCUGAGGCGCGAAAGCGUGGGGAGCAAACGGGG
rnacentral:rRNA from 1 species